GUACCAGACUCCUACGGGAGGCAGCAGUGGGGAAUAUUGCACAAUGGGCGAAAGCCUGAUGCAGCGACGCCGCGUGAAGGAUGAAGUAUUUCGGUAUGUAAACUUCUAUCAGCAGGGAAGAAAAUGACGGUACCUGACUAAGAAGCCCCGGCUAACUACGUGCCAGCAGCCGCGGUAAUACGUAGGGGGCAAGCGUUAUCCGGAUUUACUGGGUGUAAAGGGCGUGUAGCCGGGCUUACAAGUCAGAUGUGAAAUCCGGGGGCUCAACCCCCGAACUGCAUUUGAAACUGUAGGUCUUGAGUAUCGGAGAGGCAGGCGGAAUUCCUAGUGUAGCGGUGAAAUGCGUAGAUAUUAGGAGGAGCAUCAGUGGCGAAGGCGACUUUCUGGACUGUAACUGACGCUGAGGCACGAAAGUGUGGGGAGCAAACAGGAUUAGAUACCCCGGUAGA
rnacentral:rRNA from 1 species